rnacentral:rRNA from 1 species
UUACGGGAGGCAGCAGUAGGGAAUCUUCGGCAAUGGACGAAAGUCUGACCGAGCAACGCCGCGUGAGUGAAGAAGGUUUUCGGAUCGUAAAACUCUGUUGUUAGAGAAGAACAAGGAUGAGAGUAGAACGUUCAUCCCUUGACGGUAUCUAACCAG